UACGUAGGGCGCAAGCGUUUGUCCGGAAUUAUUGGGCGUAAAGAGCUCGUAGGCGGUCUGUCGCGUCGGAUGUGAAAAUCCAGGGCUCAACCCUGGACCUGCAUUCGAUACGGGCAGACUAGAGUUCGGUAGGGGAGACUGGAAUUCCUGGUGUAGCGGUGGAAUGCGCAGAUAUCAGGAGGAACACCGGUGGCGAAGGCGGGUCUCUGGGCAGUAACUGACGCUGAGGAGCGAAAGCGUGGGGAGCGAACAGG
rnacentral:rRNA from 1 species